ACAAAAACUUUGGUGACCCGGUUAAAUCAUGUGGAAGAAAAGAGCCCUCUUUAGCAGUGGAAGAAAGUGCAAGGCAGCUUAAUAACAAAAAGCUGGAUGUCAUUUGCAACUGUCAGCGCCUCGAAAGCUUCAACAUCGGGAUGGAAACAAACAGACGAGUGGGUGAGGUUUAGAUUCUGGUCUGUAAAACCCAAACUGCUCCUUUGGAGGAUGUCGCAACAGCGAUCAAUGUUACUGUGUGAGGGAGCAGAUGAUGUACGUAACUCGGGAUCAAUCGCUUUGUGAGACGGCUUGUCGUUUCCAGUUUCCUCCUCUUAACUGGCUGUGAUGAAAGCUGGAAUCCUCUAUGGGUGUGUGUGUGAGGAAGCGUGCUUUCCAACUGUCCACAGGCUUCUUUGUGACACGGCUAACCAGAUCGUUGUGAGAAAUUCCCAAAGCCCAUUGAGGAGAGCUGAAAGAACCUGCUGGGUUUAUGCGCUCUACUGAGAGCAGCGGAUACAGAGAUGAGAGACGUACACUGCGAUCUGUAUAGAGCAGUGAAGCAGGAGAGGAACUCUGUGUGGAGGAGGUGGUUCUGGUUCUUUACAUCUGAGUGAUGGAUGCAUUUUCCUGCCUCCACCUGCAGCUUAAGCUGCGCUUCUGGAUUUCAACUGGUUGUCAUGGAGACAUCAAGCUCCUCCAUUUACUGCAGUUUUUGGUGCCAAGAGACAAAAAGCUGGUGUGAAAACAAGUGUAAUAAGUGAAAAAUGGCCUAAUAUUUGGAGCCGCACAACGAUGCUCAGAAAACACGAGUGAAAACGCCCCUGGGAGAACCCCCAACUCCGGAGAAAGGUCCCGCCCCGGACGCCAGCGCCAUGAUCUAACCGCUAUCUAAUGUCGCUCUGGAGCUGAUCCGUUGCUGGGCUCCAAAUGCCAGCGUUCAUCGUGGCAGCAGGUGAAGCUUUGAGGCUUCGUCCUCCUCAUUACAGCCGUCACUGCAGUAUAUUUAUACUCCUGAGCUUGGUUGGCUCUUGUCAAUAUGUUUUAACUUGUAAAACAAAGCAGCACAGUGGCACGUUGCUCCAAUUACUGUUAGUUUUUGUUUACGGCUCUGAGAGCCACAUACGCAGCUCCGAAUCCUUGGAUUUCCGUUUCCUCCACCCGCCAAGAAGAAUGAUGGUUGCCAGCCGUCUGAGAGCUACGUCUAAGCUUUGAUCCAAUAAACAGUUCCUUCACCUCUGUGGUGCAACAUGCUAUUUACAUUCUGCAGGGCUUUCAUCCAAACUUCUGUUCUGAUGUUUUAAUUCAGCUGAAGUUGUCCAGAAGAAUUAGGGAACGUUGCACGUUACUGUUGUGGCUGAGCAGCAAGCUUUUCCUUAUAGUGUGUUUAUUUUAGCCCAGCAGUUCAGACAAAAUGAGGCAAAACAUUACAAAUAACAGCAAAUAUGAUGCAUCUGACAUGAAAGUGGAAAAGUGACAAACACCCGGAAAACCAUGCCUGCUCUAUAUAAUGUGUAUGUACAGGAAGCUGGUGUUCAGUUGAACU